UACGUAGGGUGCGAGCGUUGUCCGGAAUUAUUGGGCGUAAAGAGCUUGUAGGCGGCUUGUCGCGUCUGCUGUGAAAAUCCGGGGCUCAACCCCGGACUUGCAGUGGGUACGGGCAGGCUAGAGUGUGGUAGGGGAGACUGGAAUUCCUGGUGUAGCGGUGGAAUGCGCAGAUAUCAGGAGGAACACCGAUGGCGAAGGCAGGUCUCUGGGCCACUACUGACGCUGAGAAGCGAAAGCAUGGGGAGCGAACAGG
rnacentral:rRNA from 1 species